CUUAACUUUUGCUGGACAGCACGCUAAAAUCCACCAAAACCUCCACACGGCACUAUCGCUGGAAAACCAAGCCCCAAAAACCCACUAUUUUUCUGAUCACCGUCGGCAGCGGCGGCGGAACGUCGCUUGGGAAACGACGGAGACCGGCGUGACUUGCGGCAGCAGGCGGAUAUGGGCGGAGCCGCGGUGGAUUUAGACGAAGAAAAG
rnacentral:misc_RNA from 1 species